rnacentral:rRNA from 1 species
AAGACCUAGUGGCGAACGGGUGAGGAACACGUGAGAAAUUUGCCCCGAACUUUGGGAUAACAGUUGGAAACGACUGCUAAUACCGAAUGCCGUUACGAGGUGGCAUCACUUUGUAACGAAAGAAUUUCGGUUCGGGAGAAUCUCGCGGCCUAUCAGCUUGUUGGUGAGGUAACGGCUCACCAAGGCUACGACGGGUAGCUGGUCUGAGAGGAUGAUCAGCCACACUGGAACUGAGACACGGUCCAGACUCC